UAGGCUUCUUGGCAUUAUGGUUUAGAUUAAAGUGUAGUACCUGCUUUUGUCAGCUUAACAUCUGAUAGAUCCUCCAUCAUUGAACAGAAAAUGUUAAACUAAUUUUUGGAAAUCGACGAAGUGUUU
rnacentral:snRNA from 1 species